AUGGGUCUAUGCUAUGCGUUUUAAGUUAAGUUAAAUUUCUUGAGCGAUAACAUUGUAUAAAGGGAAUUGCCUCUGUUAAUUUCAUUGGAAUUAAUAUGUGAUGCCCACCUUAACUUAAGGUCUCAGGAAUCUGCUAAGAUUAACGGUAGCUAUGGAUCCACC
rnacentral:other from 1 species